UAUACAUAUAACAUAUAUAGAGAGAGAAACAAAGAGUAAGAGAGACUAAACCCUAGAUUUCAUUCUGACUGAAAGCAGAGUAUUUUGUAUUUUGACCAACAAAGAGCUGUGUUUACAUCUAAUUUUUUUUCCGUCAUUAUUCAUAAAGAUCUUUUUGAAAUGUACUCAGUUUGAUAAACAAGAAGAGGCUAUUGGGUUUUGGUUGGUGGGUGUGAUUCAGUCUGAGGAAGUUGUUUUGUGAUGUAUGUGGAUUGAGUUUUUUGAAGAGAAAAAAAGUUUCUGUUUGGUCUGUUUUCUAAUUUGAGGAUCUGCUGAAGGAGUUUUUGCAAAUAAAGGGCUUGUAAAGAUGAUGUCCAAAUCUUAUACCAACUUGCUAGAUCUAGCAUCUGGGAAUUUCCCGGUGAUGGGGCGGGAAAAGAAGCGGCUGCCACGG
rnacentral:misc_RNA from 1 species